rnacentral:rRNA from 1 species
UACGAAGGGGGCUAGCGUUGCUCGGAAUCACUGGGCGUAAAGCGCACGUAGGCGGACUCUUAAGUCGGUGGUGAAAUCCUGGAGCUCAACUCCAGAACUGCCUUCGAUACUGAUAGUCUCGAGUCCGGGAGAGGUGAGUGGAACUGCGAGUGUAGAGGUGAAAUUCGUAGAUAUUCGCAAGAACACCAGUGGCGAAGGCGGCUCACUGGCCCGGUACUGACGCUGAGGUGCGAAAGCGUGGGGAGCGAACAGG